GAACAAAAGAAAAUACAGGCGAGUCUGCCAUGCAAAGAAAGCCGCACCUUCCCAGAACGUUUAGUAGAGCGUUUUCAGAACCCUAGCAGCCAUCCUCAGCUGCCUCUCCUUCCGCUCCGUGCCAAGGACAGAACGCCUGGCCAAAGGCAAACCACUGAGAGACAGGUCUCCCACACACCCUCCACCUGAACUUACUGAAGAAACCAAGGAACACCACCUCCACACAGUUCUCCACUCACCAUUCCCUCACCACAGCCGGACCAUUUCUCCUCGCUGAGCUGGCAGCACGUGGAGGCAAUGCUCACCAUCUUCCCGGUGAGGUCGAUCAGCUCUGCUGAGGUCAGCUGAGGGGCUUUCCUCGUGUAACCAAUAAGGAACCUUGAAGAAACAUUUUUACCUCGUCAUCGUGAGUGUUCACCCCUUCCUCCUUCUCUAGGACCUACUUCCGGUGUCAGAAGGCAUGAGUCAUGUGGCCCCACAAUGAGAAGUGUUUAUUCUGCCAAUCACUCCACAUACCCCACCUCCAUCUCUCUCACGUGUCACUACGUGGGAAGAAGACUGCUUUCCUCCCAACCUUAGCUCUUCCUUGAUUUCAACCGUGUACUUUGGGUGUUGGAACCUUGACAGAUCAAGAGCAGAAUGGAUAGCUCUUCUGCAAAAAUCUACAGGGUUUGGGGAACCCGAAGUCAAUUUAAAACAUCAGACUUCAUGGGCUGUUCUUGUUAAUAUUUAAUGGGGGAUAACUUUGGAGAAAUCACGUAGUCACAUUUAUACUGACUUUGAUCCAAUUGGGAAUAGAAGAAAGAGUAGCAGUGCCUGGUGCCUUGAGACUUUAAAUUUAUGCUUCCUUCACCUAUUAAUAAUUUUAAUUUACUGAAAACAUUUCAAAAAAAACAUACAGAUUUUGUAAUUUGUAGUCUCCUAAGGUCUGGUAGAGAGCGCAGCUUUGCUUGGACAGUGCCUGGCUCUCCUCGAUGUGUUUCUGCAAUUCUUCUUCCUAAAAAUACCGACAUUA
rnacentral:lncRNA from 1 species